rnacentral:misc_RNA from 1 species
AACUUUUGGCAAUGGAUCACUUGGCUCUCGCAUCGAUGAAGAACGCAGCGAAAUGCGAUAAGUAAUGUGAAUUGCAGAUUUUCAAUAAAUCAUCGAAUCUUUGAACGCACCUUUCGCUCCUUGUUAUUCCGAGGAGCAUGCCUGUUUGAGUGUCAUUAAAUCAUCAACCCCACAGAUUUGUUUCGGCUUGGGGCUUGGACUUGGAGCGUGCUGGCGAAGGUCGGCUCAUCUUUAAAUGCAUCAGCGGAAGAACGCAUCUUUUUUCCCUUCAGCGUGAUAAUCCUGUUGCGCUGUGUGUGGGUCAAAGGUGUUCCGCUUAUAAUCGUCCUUCGGACAAACGAACCCAUCUAUUUUUGACCUCAAAUCAGGUAGGACUACCCGCUGAACUUAAGCAUAUCAAUAAGCGGAGGCU